AGGGUGUUACAAAGUCAGCAAAGAAGAAGGCAUACACAGCAGCUUCCAUUUUAAUGAUGUAACAGAGCAACGAGAACAUGACAAGUAUGGAAGACACUUCUACAACUUCGCUUAACAAGGUGGUGUGACUUCAUAACAAAGGAAAAUGAGAAGAAAACGAUGACAUUGGAGUUAAAAUUAUGGGGAAAAAUAAUAGGUAAAUGAGAAAACAAAAUUGGAAAGAUAAUGACGAUGCAAAAAGUGUAAAGGAAAUAGGGUUGUGCAACGCUAUAAUGUGUAAGGAAAGAAGAAAACUGAAAAACACAUUUUUUAGUUCACUUAAAAAUACCUUUUAUGAAGAUUAAUCUACAGUUAUUUUUAAUAUACCGAUAUGAUUUCUAAAGAAAGCAUGGUAUUAUUAAUUUCUCAAGCUAGCACAGGUUUUAGUACACCAGUUAUAAAAUAA
rnacentral:lncRNA from 1 species